rnacentral:rRNA from 1 species
AGAUUGAACGCUGGCGGCAGGCCUAACACAUGCAAGUCGAGCGGUAGAGAGGUGCUUGCACCUCUUGAGAGCGGCGGACGGGUGAGUAAUGCCUAGGAAUCUGCCUAGUGGUGGGGGAUAACAUUCGGAAACGGACGCUAGUACCGCAUACGUCCUACGGGGGAAAGCGGGGGACCUUCGGGCCUCGCGCCAUUAGAUGAGCCUAGGUCGGAUUAGCUAGUUGGUGAGGUAAUGGCUCACCAAGGCGACGAUCCGUAACUGGUCUGAGAGGAUGAUCAGUCACACUGGAACUGAGACACGGUCCAGACUCCUACGGGAGCAGCAGUGGGAAUAUUGGACAAUGGGCGAAAGCCUAG